rnacentral:lncRNA from 1 species
AUGACCACUGGCUCUCACGGUGGCUGGGAACCCUGGCGGGGAGGCCUGCGCCUCCUCAAGCUCCAGUCCCUCUGGAUGGCAGGUGCGCCUGCCUCGGGCCUCUUCGGACUUUCCAUCACAGGCCAAAGGAAAACCAGCGAGAGCUUGCAUGACACCGGGUCCGUAUUAAGACAGGCGCAAAACGAUCCUUCCUCUUCUGUGCGCCUUAGGGAACGCCCGAAGGCAUGCAAGGCUGGGGCUCAGGGGAGGGUCCCCGAGCGGGCAGUCAGGGCUGCCCUCAGGCCCUGGGCAAGGAGGUUUCCGGAGGCCCCUCAGUUCUCGAGUGUGUGUGUAUGUUUUUGGUGGUGGUAAUUGGGAAGCAGGGGGUCAAGACCCAGGAGUGCAGAGAGUGGGAGAGAGGAUCUCCUCCGCCCAUCCUGGGCUCCUGUCGGGCCUAACCUCCACCCAGCGUCAACUUUUUGCUGCUCCCGUUAGAUGGCGCCCAAGACUUUCUAACCACUUGUGAAAGUGCUCCUGGCCCGGAACAAAAAGAACCGUGGGGUGUGAGUAUGAGUGUGUGUGAGUGCGAGUGCGCGCGCGGGGCUGGCCACAGGGCACAGGAGUUGCCUGGCACUACGCGUGGCCCCGUCGCGGGUCGGGUCGGGCCGGCCCAGGGCUGGGGCGCGCUCACGGGAGGAGCUGCGCGCGGCCGGCGGAGAACUUUCUUCUUUUCCCUUCGCUCUCCCUCUUGAGCGAGCGCCUAGGCCCUGGCCACUCUCCCGGAGAGAAGCCGGGCGACCCGGCCGCGGGCUCAAGCAGCCAGCGCCGGCUGCAAGUGACCGCGGUGCGCGGGCGGAAAGGGGUCCCGGACGUGCGGGUCGGAGAGCUGGGACGCACACGACAGCCCCUUUCUCUGCCCUUACUUACCGGCCCAGCGCUCACAGCCGCUGCCCUGUUUUUAAGAGAAUGGCGCAGGUGCAAGUUUGGUUGUUGCGGUUUUAGCCGCUCCAAGGAAAUUGUUCAGUGUAAGGUUACCUAAGCGUACUGCGUGGGCGUGUUUCCAGAAACAAAGGGCAAACUUUCUCGCUCCCAAAGCCAGUGAAGUUAAACAGACUCCCUUAUGAAAAGGCCCUUGGGGACCCUAGGGCGUCAGAUGCGACAGCUAAUUUUAAAAUAACUGUUUAACAGGUGAUUAGGGAGCGCGCUUUCUCUCCACCACCAAGUUCACCUCUUCUCCAAACCCCUCUAAAAUAAGUGACUUGACGAUAGGUGAUCCCAUUCCCUAGUCCUCUCCUUAAUGCCAGUCUGGAGGCGCACUGUCAAGAAGGGAUGCGUCUCCUCGCCCUUGAGAACCAGCGCGGAGACCUUCUUUUGUGCCUCUCCUUGGCUGUGAACUUUCCCGCGCGGUAGGUUCUCCUUUAAGAAAGUAGCAUCCCUAUGAAUAUUUAAUGCUGCACGCGGGCCGGCGGGGCGGAGGGGAGCCCGCGGCCUGGGUUUCCGCGCGCGCCGAGACCCGGGCGCAGAGCGAGUGCGUCCCCACCAGCCUGGCCGCCGCGGGAACUCGGGGACCGGGAGGGCGGGGGUUAGCGGGAGGAAAGGGUAAGCUGAAGAGGGGCUGGGAACGGGAGGGAGGCUCGGGGCGAACGGGCCGUCGCGUUCAUUUCCAUAAGAAAGCUGAAAUCGCAGUUGGAAGCAGGAUUUCUCGCCCCUGCAGCCCUUCCCCCAUACCCGGUUUUCUGCAAGAAGCGGGCUCCAGAGCUCAGAGCCCGAAGUGUGUGCUCUGGUCUUUGAUGAUGUUGAUAAAAUGUGGUUUCAAAUGUUGUCCCGAAGAGGCCGGUUUCCUGUCUGUAUGUGGAAUGGAAGGACCGUGCCGGGGCACCAAGAGGCACCCUGAGAACUCAGAGGACCCAGAGGCUCCCCUCAAGCAAAUUCCCUGCUGACCCUGGACACCCCUUGAAGGAGGGGGCAAGAGGCUGCCACAAGGCUCAUCUUAUAACUCCCAGCAAGGACUCCCAGCAAACAAGUUCAGCUUGGGAUCUGCCCACCACCAAGCCUGGCUGGGAGGUGGGGGGGAGCGAGGGGCGGUGGAGAGGCAGAGUCCCUGAACAGGGAAAAGACAAUCAGUUGUUCCCCUUUCUGGUGUCAGAGGCAAAGAAGCCUGAAGGGCUGGUGGUGGUGCUGGCUCUGGGUUUAUUGACUCUGUGAUCCUGUCCAGCUGUCCUACAGGGAGUUCCAGAGCUCUCCCAAAGUGCAUGAGGAACUGCACAAGUAGGACUGGGGCACAAUACCAGAAGCUAUUUGUCUCCUAGAACCUGGCACCCCCUCCACUUACCUUACAGGAGACCCACAUCACUCAGUUCCCAGGACACCUGGUGGGAGAGUCUGGUGAGAUUUGGAGGCAGACUUCCUCUACUCACAACUUGUUUGAAAAUGGACAUAAAGAGAAGAACAGACACUCCAUCGCCCCUUCAGGGCCUCCUUUGUGUCACAAAACCUAUCCCCUCCUAGGGCACCCUUGACAUUCCCCUAGGUGGGCCUACACAUUGUUCAGAACCUGUCCCCUGUACCAAAAUAAAUAUAAAUGAGUUUGUUUCUUUAAAAGAAAUAUUACAGCUUUAAACUUUUCCCAGCCGGAAUCCACCUAAUUUCAUCAAGGUCUCUCGCUAGCAGCCAUAACCCAGGCCAAAAGGGCUUGUCCCUAGGGAGGCACCAAAGGGAGAAUACCCCAGGCCCAUUUCAUUCCACUGAGGUUUUUGAACCCCUAGGUGUCUAAGGUAAUACCACCACCAUCCCCACCUGUUUUCAGUUCUUUCUUUGUGGCUUAAGAUUGCAUUUUUGGAGGGUUUAUGUAAUGUUGUUCACGUCAGCAAGUCUCCCUGCCCCACCCUCACCCCACUGUCCUAUAUGGAAUUAUAGUUGGAAACCACACACACAUAGAAAAUCUUUGAAGAUUUUUUUCUGCUAUUCUUCCUGACUAGAAGAGUUGACAAGACAUAGACACAUUCAGUUGCAUAAAAUACAGUAGCGUGAUCAGCCUAAAUGCAUCUCAUUUGCACUGUUUGUAACCAGGGGUGGGGGCUUGUGUCACUCAUUGCCUCCCCCUCCUCUGCCCAAACCAGACCCGCCAGCUGGAAUUUCAGAGCAGGCCCCAAGGCAGCAGCCAUUUGGGAAGUGGAAGCCCUAGCCCACCCCAGUCCAGCAGGGGUGCGGGGUGGAUAGAGAAGGUGUCUGGAGGUCUGGCCUGAGGGCUUGGACCAACUUUGGCAGACCUGGGCUCUGGGAGGCUUGGCCGGUGGGUGACCACAGCUGGAAGUUGGAGGUCUGCAGCGAUGCUUCUGAGCUUCUCCUGAGUUGAGUUCAAGAAAGGGGACACCAAGAAGUAGGGGAACAGUCACUGACUAUAUUUUACAUCCACGCCUACCCCUUUCCCAGAGUUGUGUUCUCACCACCCACUUUGUCGGCGGAGGAGAAACACUGCUGCCUGAUGCUUGCACUGCUGCACUGUUCUUGCACCUGCUCCUAGCCCUGAACUCGGGCCCUGAGCUCCUCACUGCCGCCCGCUCUGCGCUGAGCCCCACUCCUGAGACCGCGAGGUGCCAGAGCAGCGCCUCUCCCACCAACUCCUAGACGCCUGUAGGAGCUGCGCCGGAGCCUUCAGAACCCCAUGGGGGUGUGGGGGUGAAGUUGGAGGUCAUCCGGCUCCCGGCUUCUCGAACGCUCUUCUGAUCGCCCAGCGGGGAGACUUCAGGGCCUGCCUCGUCAGGCCAGAUUGCAGCCCGCGACCUUCCCGGAUUAACCAAGGGCGGGGCCUGUUGCCCAGCAAGGCUGCUGCCUAACUGAGCCUCCCGGGGAACAGCCAUGACCAAAGCCCCGCGGGCCCAGGCGCGGGCACCUACCCCUACCCGCUCAGGCCUGUGGGAGCGCAGGGGCAGAGGCCGAGACGCUGGACUUCCAGCCCCACACCUCUGACAACCCGGGCACGUCUGCGGAGCCCGGGGGAACAGUCAGCGGGCUCUGCGUCCCGGGAGCUGGGGACACGCCUGCAAGGGCUUUCCGCCUGCACACAGUCAUUUGGAGAAAAUCAAGAGAGUUUUCAACCUUGGAAAUUGUGCAAUGUUCCAGCCGACUUAAUGGGCUUGCCUUAUGCGGAGAGGCAGUCCUGCAGGACAGAGCUAAUGUGUGGUCUCCCAGGAAGCUCAUCAGAACACCUCUUGUCCCUUUUCUUUAAAAGAAAAAAAAUUUAAAAAGUUUUUGCUUCCAUCUCAAUGUCCAUUCCAUUAUUUUGUAGCUACAAUAAAGAAACAUGGGCAGCAGUGAUCAUUCUUUUUGUCCUAUGUAAUCAUGUCUAGUGUUAGGACCUUACAAAGCUCCAGACAUACCUCAGGUGUAUUCUGCACUUUUCAUAUUUAUUCACUGCUCACUGGGUCACACAGAUGAUUCACACUUGAUUCCACCUUCCUCUGGACAACUCUCCCUCAAACAACACCCCUCUAUCAACUUAUAGGGAAAGGAGAUUCACUUAGAGAAAACUUCUUGAAUUAAAGACCAGACUCAGUUUCGCCAGGUAACUAAUCCUGGCAUACCGGUGACUAGGAAGUCAUCACCUAACACUCUACCUAGAUAUAAACUCUCAGGAAGGAGGCAGGCCGGUGGGGACAUUUCCACAGACAUUUCUAAAACUGUGGCAAUUGAGUAUAUUUUACAGAUACAAUUUUGGUAGAUUCCCAUCCAGCUUAAGACAUUUAAAAUGCAAUUUUGUUCACACGCAUGUGCGCGCACACAGACACACACGCACGUGUCAACUAGGGUGAUAUUAACAGUCCAUUUCCACUGGGCAAUUCUGUGACAGCAACUACAACUAACAAACUUCUUUUCUGAAGAGUAAAAAAGAAAACAAAAGCCUCUCCAUCUAUUUUAAAAGGUUAUUUUAUAUUGUUUAGCAUUCUUUCGAAACAGGAAUUGGCUGGACACUUCUCCCUUUUCAAAGAUCAGGUAAACUACUCUCCCACCCACCUCCUCCCCAAGACCAAGCCAUUUUUUAAAGCAAAAAUUCUGUUUCCAAAGGAAGAAAAAUGAACAAAUUCCAUUAAUGAAUUACAUACAUGGAAUGUGGCUUGUCUAGGACAUUUGUAUUUGUAAAUAAAUGGCUCCCUGUUUAUUAUGUAUGUUUUACUGGAAAAAAAACCAACUCUAAUGCCUCUGAGCAUGUUAUAAUACAGCAAAUAUUUCCACUUAUGGUUUCAGUUCCACUGUUUCUUGGUACUCACUAGAAAGAAAUCGGGUUACAUGGAGUCAGUUGUGGGGUUUAAGCGUCCAGGCUGACUUGGGGACGCGGCACCUCUAAAGUUCUCAUGUUUGCCAAAGUGCGGGGGGAAGGGGGAAUGGCUCCUAGGAAUCUUAUGGGGAUUAAUCUGGGGUUUCGCCUUUGUCCCGGGAUCUUUCUAAGGCUCACCACGGCCUCCGUCUGCAGCUUCAGAAGCGAAGCCGGCGUGCGAUCUCCUUGGCGGGCGGACUGGGCACAGUCCCUGCCUUGCCCUGCUGCCGGCGCCCGCACACCGCGGUCUCAGGAUCUCCCCGCAGGCCUAGGCCUGCAGUCCUCGGGCGGAGACGGGGCCUGGGGGAGCGACCCUCACCGGGCCAGGCACAGGCAGUUUACCCUGGUGCCUGUAGGGUGCUCGAGUUUCCCACACGCGGGAAGCGGAGGCGUGGGCCAAGCGCCGGGGGCUGCCCAAGAACUCCACCGCCCCGUGCGGCGCGCAGGGCCUGGCGGCGCGAAACUUCCACAAAGCCGCCGGCCGCCUCCGGCCUUGCCUCCACUCCGCAGUCCCAGCUGCCUAGACCUCGGUGUCUUCCCAGACAAUGAGCCCUGCCAGUGCACUAGGCUGUUCCGCUCUGACUUCUUCUGCCCGCACAUGGGGACCCGAGCGAAAGGUUAUGGGUUGGAACAAGUCAGCGCAUCUCCUUCCACGCGCCGCAUCCUUCGGGAAGACAAACAGAGUACGCCCCCCACCUCAAUUUCGGGCCCUGGUCUGUGGGCUGGGCCACAGUCCGGGAAGACCCAAGGGGUCACGGGUCCAGAUCCGUCUUUACUUUGUCCUCCGCUCCAGGGCUCCAGGGCCCUGGGCAGCAGAGAGGUGGAUUUCAGAGAAAGCCCGGGUCAGCCAGGCCUUGAACUCAGCCCCUCUGAACUCCACCGUCAGCAGCGUGGGCGGCAACUCAAUUCUCCUGGGAGGAGGCUGCACCCCCAGAACGGAAAAUCCGCAAACGUCGCGCAGAGACCCACAGGCAUUUCUACCUUUCCUUCCACAAGCCCUGCAGAAAGUUAUCGCCAGAACCUCUGGAACCUGAGCCGACUCCAGCCUCCAGCAACUCCCUCAACCUUCCAGGGAAACUUUCAGAAGUUUCCCUUUCCUUCGCUCCUCAAUUCCUUGGACUUUCUCCAGCCCCCAGGUUUGCUCAUUACUCUGCUGACUGCCCUUUAGUCUCUAGGGCUCCACAGGCCUGAGCGUUUCCAGAAUAAUAAUAAUAAUAAUAAUAAUAAUAAUAAUAAUAAUAAUAAUAAUUGUUAUUAUGAGGCUGGGGAAGAACAGGAUCAGAGGGUAGGAGGGACUGAGGGAGAGAGUGGACAUGUUUAUGAAAAGGUUUAUUUAAACCUGUGUUUCAAAAGGGUUCAGUUGACAAUUAUCAGUAACCCCGAUAGACAACUCCAUUAAAAAAAAAAAGAAUUUACUAUUGCUCUUGAAAGCCGUUAUUUUUUCCAUCGCUUUUUAGGAAGAUAGAUGAACAAAACAUCGCGUUUCAAGCCAUUUUGAUCUGUAAUUGAAAGGCAGGAUCGGUUUGUAUUCUCCUACGGCUUUUACAGAAGUUGCAGUGAUCCAAAGUCGGGUUGCUGUGUCAGAGUGGCAUUUUUAUUAAUGAGAAUACAAAAAGCUUGCAUAUUCUUAGCCCUGCUUGAAUUUAGUUGCUAAGCAACGGGUGUAUGGUAAUUCAUCCGCGAAAUUUAAAUCUUUGAGAAAGGUUCGUGCGUUUUGCUGAAUGGUCGCCACGAGGAAAACAACUUGUGGGACCCACAGCAGCUGCCACAGUCUGGCCGCCCGGCCGUGCCGGGCCGAGCAGGGACCCGGCCGCCCCACCGCGACCGGCUGCAAAGUUCAGGAUGCAAACGCAGAGGCUUCUGCUUUCCUUAUUGAAAUCAACGUCAAGCCUACCGUGAGGAUCCUGCACCCAGGAGGUCACAUGGGUGAACUUCAGGCCCUCAGACCAGCAGCCCUGAGGAGCUGAGAUGACCAACCGACCUACAGAACUUGGAGAGCCUGAGAGGUUGCCCCACGCUUCUCACAUGCGUCACUCAACAACAACAACAGCAGCAGCAGCAACAACAACGACAACAACACCUGUGCUGAUUGCUUAUGCUGUUAGUAGCUGGACUAGGACAAAGGGCUUCUCCACUCACAGUCAUUUUAUAGAUCAUCUAAUUUUUUUUCUUCAGUCUAGCACAACUCUUCUUUUUUCACAUCACCUUGUUUCUGGGUCACUGAUAACCUCAAACUCCCAACUCUUAUUACAACUCCCUUUCCCAACGUAGAUGUCUGAGCACAGUCAGGUAUUAGGUUAUCACUGAAACAUAGCAUCUGCUCUAAUCCUUGCAGCCAGCCACGUGCAUUUCAUGAAAGAAGAAAAUUCUUUAAUUUCUGUCUUUCUGCCUUAAAAAAACAAUCAGGUCCACCUUUUAAAUAAUUAAUUUCAAGUCUGCAUCCAGUGCCAAUACUUGUUGCAUCCAUUUUAGAGUUGAUUAAUUACCCUGGAACUUGGGCAAACUAAACUCCAUGUGGAGAGAAUGUUUCUUCCUUCAAUUUAGUACUGAAAGCUACAAGUUAUUAAUGGAUUUUACUCAAUUUACAUACAAAUUAGUGCAAAUAUGCCCGUCUCUUAAAGUACAUUUUUGUAUAAAUAUAUAAAAGUAUCAUUUUUGAUUUAGCUUGAAGAGGUUGAUCAUUUAUUACAAAAAUAAACGAAUAAAUACAACAAUAUAUUGUUGCUUUCAACAGGAUAAAUACUUUACAAAUAUAUAAUUUAAAAAACAAAUUUAAUUGUUAAAAUUAUUUAAAAUAUUACACUUAUCGAUAAAACUAUCAAUAGUAUAUACUGCAUUUAAUAUUAGAACCAAUUAUUCUCUGAAUGUUCAAAACCAUUCAUACAAAACAGAUUAUGAGCAUGGUCAUGAGCAAACACUGGAGGCUACAGGGCAGCAAAGGGAAUCGCUAAGAUCAAUAACGAACAGUUCUCUUCGGAACAAAGAAGUAGUCCUUGGCUAAGUACUAAAAAAAAAAAAAAAAAAAAAAAAAAAAAGGCAGAGCAACAAUAGCAAAGUGACUAUUUUCAAUACACCUUGAAUGAUUUAUCGCACAGACUUGCCAGGGGAAGAUGGUUGUGGGAGCGACGGAGGCUUGGACAACUGAUCAAGAGCCACAGGAGACUGUAAACUGUAAGUGGGCCUAGCUUGGGAUUAGCAAGGCUGAUGGAACAGAACUUUGUCACUUUCCUUUGGGUUGGAAGGGGAGGGGGGGUUGGAUUGAAAUGGAGGAAACAAAUGGGCACUUUACGAAGCACAAGACACUUGCACUGCAAAGGAACACAAUGACCAAAUUCAUUAAAAAGAUCUGGUGAUAUAUAACAAUA